UUAAAUUAAAAAAAAAUAUAUAUAAAUAAAUUGUACGCAAACUUUUUUAAAGAAAAAAAAAGAUAUGUGUUGUAACAAUUUCUUUUUUACAAAUAUUUUAAACAAUAUGUCCGACCCGGCCAGAAAAUCGUUUCUCUCGACCUAGUUUUAGGUCUGCGCCAGCCUAGACCAAAUAACCUAAGAACACCGCUCCUCAUAACAUGAAAACAUAAAACAAAACAAACAGUUCUCCUUUAAAUAACGCUAUUUUUUGUAACUGUUGGUCCUUUUUCCUCACUUGGCACCCCGAGGUCUUAUCCUUUUUUUUAUUACAAAUAAUCGGCUGUCGAUCCAAAAAAGGAGAAAAUAUUCAUUUGAGAACUAAAUCACAAGCAUAGAAAAUUGUAGAUCCAAUACCGAUCUUGCGUGGUUUUUCUUCUUAGUUGUAUAUCAUAAAUUAAUGACAUUAAAUAUUAACCUAAACCGAGAAUUAGUUCACUAAAAAUACAUUUUUAAAAAAUGAGCAUGCAUUUUGAAGCUCGCCAUUGUUAGAAAAACAUUUAGAAUCUCCGUGAGCCAACGUGACAAUUGACUAAAUCUAAUUUCGAGGGUAUAUACACUUUUAAUAAAUCAACGGAGACUUAAAAAAAAUACAACAAAUAUCCAAAUUAUUCCCGACAAAUCACGACUUCUGCCAACGGACAGUUUGCUCCUAUCAUCUUAGAAUUAGGUUAUAAAAUCAAAUUACAAACAAGUGAACCUAAGGAAUUCUUAUUCCUUACCCUGCAUUCACGGUUAGUGCUAAUUCGCGGGCGAGACCCCAUAUAUCAAAUCUUAUUAACGGAAUUACAGGAAGGAUAUAAAUCAUUAAAUUAUAAAUUAUUGAAUGCUUCAACAUUAAUUUCAGCUACAAAUGAUCUUGAUGAUGAUAAGGAUGAUUUUGAAAAAUG